ensembl:lncRNA
GCUAAGGGUCUUUGCUGUGCGAGCACACUGUUUUAUCAGCUGUCUGUAAUUGGCAUAUGAUCAUGUGGUGGGUUUAUUUAGUUGUAAUGAGGCGGAAAGAUGAACACCAUAUUUACCCAGAAUCAGACAAUAACCAGCAUGAUGUCUAAAGGGACAAGCUCUGUUUGGAAAGUCACCCACACUCUAGUUGAGAAUGGCUUAUAGAGAGGCCAAGGAAGUCAUUUGUAGUACUCAGGGUAAGAUUGAGAUUGUCUGUUUAGGCUUGUCUGGCGCUUGCUUCCCUCUCGCUCCCUUUCCCCCCCUCUUUCACUUCCUGCAUCCCAGCGUCACGGUGCACUUUCUGUUUGUGACUGAUGGAUUUCAUGUCAGUCUUUUGGCAGAGAGAGACAUGUCAAGGAAGUGUCUGUUUCUAGCUGUUAGCUGAAUGACCAAAACAAACAGGCAAAACAGGUUGGCAGAAGGAGAGCAACUCUUUCACAGCAGACUGACUGGCGUACAAAUCUUCACAAAUGAGACAAAAGACCAUAUCGUGAAGCAGCGACCCGUGAAAGAAUUGCAAAAUUCUGCUCCGCCAUGGCCUUUUGAGCCGCCUGCUCCACCGUGGCUCCCCGAGUCCCCUGACCUGCUGUGGCUCCCCGAGUCCCCUGUCCUGCCAUGGCGUCCUGAGUCCCCUACUCCGCCAUGGCUUCCUGAAUUGUCUGCUCCGCCAUGGCCUCUUAGUCUGCCUGAUUCACCAUGGUGCCCCGAACUGCCAGAUCCGUUAUGGGUCCCGGAACGGGCGCCACCCUGGAGGCCUUCCAUCCUGGAACCCUGCUCCUAGAGGCCUCCAGAGCUCCCACCCCCCUCCCUGUUGGAUGUUGUAUGGCGUGGGAUGCGCCUUCCAGGAGCGGGGAGUAUUGUCAGACUCUGUUCCUUGUUUUGUGUGUUUCGCUCCCCAUGUGUUUCCAUGCCCUUAUUUGGUCCUUCGCAUUCCUGUCCUAAUUGUUUCCAAUUUGUUCCAGGUGUGUCUAUUUAUUAUCCUCAUUUUCCUGUGUAUUUAAGUUUGAGUCUGUGCAGUCUGUCUUGAUAUGGAAUUGUACAUGUAACCCUCCUGCUACAUGUGUGUGUUCCUGCCUGUUCAAUGUACUUCCCUAUUUGGUUAAAUAAAGACUGUUGAUCAUUCAUCUCCUUCGUCUCCUUGUCUCCUCCACAGUAGCAGCGACCCCGUGACAUUUCUACAGAAAAAAAUAUAUCAUGUGAC